GCUUUUUAAAAGUAAAGUGGUCGACAGUGUUAAAGUGUGCACUGCUCGUUUGUUUGACCAGCCCAAAAUAGAAGACCCCUACGCAAUUAGCUUUUCUCCAUGGAACCCUUCUGUACACGAUGAGGCCAGAGAGAAGAUGCUCACUCAGAA